CCUACGGGCGGCUGCAGUGGGGAAUAUUGCACAAUGGGCGCAAGCCUGAUGCAGCCAUGCCGCGUGUGUGAAGAAGGCCUUCGGGUUGUAAAGCACUUUCAGCGGGGAGGAAGGCGUUAAGGUUAAUAACCUUGUCGAUUGACGUUACCCGCAGAAGAAGCACCGGCUAACUCCGUGCCAGCAGCCGCGCUAAUACGGAGGGUGCAAGCGUUAACCGGAAUUACUGGGCGUAAAGCGCACGCAGGCGGUCUGUCAAGUCGGAUGUGAAAUCCCCGGGCUCAACCUGGGAACUGCAUUCGAAACUGGCAGGCUAGAGUCUUGUAGAGGGUAGAAUUCCAGGUGUAGCGGUGAAAUGCGUAGAGAUCUGGAGGAAUACCGGUGGCGAAGGCGGCCCCCUGGACAAAGACUGACGCUCAGGUGCGAAAGCGUGGGGAGCAAACAGGAUUAGAUACCCGAGUAGUC
rnacentral:rRNA from 1 species